AACGAACGCUGGCGGCAGGCUUAACACAUGCAAGUCGAGCGCCCCGCAAGGGGAGCGGCAGACGGGUGAGUAACACGUGGGGAUCUGCCCAAUGGUACGGAAUAGCUCCGGGAAACUGGCAUUAAUACCGUACGUGCCCGCAAGGGGAAAGAUUUAUCGCAAUUGGAUGAACCCGCGACGGAUUAGCUAGUUGGUGUGGUAAAGGCGCACCAAGGCGACGAUGCGUAGCUGGUCUGAGAGGAUGAUCAGCCACACUGGGACUGAGACACGGCCCAGACUCCUACGGGAGGCAGCAGUGGGGAAUAUUGGACAAUGGGCGCAAGCCUGAUCCAGCCAUGCCGCGUGAGUGAUGAAGGCCUUAGGGUUGUAAAGCUCUUUCGCCGACGAAGAUAAUGACGGUAGUCGGAGAAGAAGCCCCGGCUAACUUCGUGCCAGCAGCCGCCGUAAAAC
rnacentral:rRNA from 1 species